rnacentral:rRNA from 1 species
CAUGCAAGUCGAGCGGAUCUUGUCCUUCGGGAUAAGGUUAGCGGCGGACGGGUGAGUAACACGUAGGUAACCUGCCCGUAAGACUGGGAUAACAUUCGGAAACGAAUGCUAAUACCGGAUACACAGCUUGGUCGCAUGACCUUGCUGGGAAAGAUGGAGCAAUCUAUCACUUACGGAUGGACCUGCGGCGCAUUAGCUAGUUGGUGAGGUAACGGCUCACCAAGGCGACGAUGCGUAGCCGACCUGAGAGGGUGAUCGGCCACACUGGGACUGAGACACGGCCCAGACUCCUACGGGAGGCAGCAGUAGGGAAUCUUCCGCAAUGGACGAAAGUCUGACGGAGCAACGCCGCGUGAGUGAUGAAGGUUUUCGGAUCGUAAAGCUCUGUUGCCAGGGAAGAACGCUUGGGAGAGUAACUGCUCCCAAGGUGACGGUACCUGAGAAGAAAGCCCCGGCUAACUACGUGCCAGCAGCCGCGGUAAUACGUAGGGGGCAAGCGUUGUCCGGAAUUAUUGGGCGUAAAGCGCGCGCAGGCGGUUCCUUAAGUCUGAUGUGAAAGCCCACGGCUCAACCGUGGAGGGUCAUUGGAAACUGGGGAACUUGAGUGCAGAAGAGGAGAGCGGAAUUCCACGUGUAGCGGUGAAAUGCGUAGAGAUGUGGAGGAACACCAGUGGCGAAGCGGCUCUCUGGUCUGUAACUGACGCUG